rnacentral:rRNA from 1 species
AGUUGUUGCAGUUAAAAAGCUCGUAGUUGAAUUUCGGGGUUAGUAGGUUGGUCAUGCCUCUGGUAUGUACUGAUCUCACUGAUUCCUCCUUCCUUAUGAACCGUAAUGCCAUUAAUUUGGUGUUGCGGGGAAUUUGGACUGUUACUUUGAAAAAAUUAGAGUGUUUAAAGCAAGCUAACGCUUGAAUACAUUAGCAUGGAAUAAUGAAAUAGGACGUUCGAUCUUAUUUUGUUGGUUUCUAGGAUUGACGUAAUGAUUAAUAGGGAUAGUUGGGGGCAUUAGUAUUCAAUUGUCAGAGGUGAAAUUCUUGGAUUUAUUGAAGACUAACUACUGCGAAAGCAUUUGCCAAGGAUGUUUUCAUUAAUCAAGAACGAAAGUUAGGGGAUCGAAGACGAUCAGAUACCGUCGUAGUCUUAACCAUAAACUAUGCCGACUAGGGAUCGGAUGAUGUUAUUUUUUAAUGACUCAUUCGGCGCCUACCCGGGGAAACA